GACGAACGCUGGCGGCGUGCUUAACACAUGCAAGUCGAACGGUGAAGGAGAGCUUGCUCUCCGGAUCAGUGGCGAACGGGUGAGCAACACGUGGGCAACCUGCCCCAGACUUCGGGAUAACGCUUCGAAAGAGGUGCUAAUACCGGAUACGAACUCCUUGGGCAUCCUUGGAGUUGGAAAGUUUUUCGGUCUGGAAUGGGCCCGCGGCCUAUCAGCUUGUUGGUGAGGUAACGGCUCACCAAGGCGACGACGGGUAGCCGGCCUGAGAGGGCGGCGGGCCACACUGGGACUGAGGCACGGCCCAGACUCCUACGGGAGGCAGCAGUGGGGAAUAUUGCGCAAUGGGUGAAAGCCUGACGCAGCAACGCCGCGUGAGGGAUGACGGCCUUCGGGUUGUAAACCUCUUUCAGCAGGGAAGAAGCGAAAGUGACGGUACCUGCAGAAGAAGCACCGGCUAACUACGUGCCAGCCGCCGCCGUAA
rnacentral:rRNA from 1 species